GAUGAACGCUAGCGGCAGGCUUAAUACAUGCAAGUCGAGGGGCAGCACAGGUAGCAAUACUGGGUGGCGACCGGCAAACGGGUGCGGAACACGUACGCAACCUUCCUUCAAGUGGGGGAUAGCCCGGGGUAAAACCCGGAUUAAUACCCCGUAACAUAGUGUGGUGGCAGUCACCGUACUAUUAUAGCUCCGGCGUUUGA
rnacentral:rRNA from 1 species